rnacentral:rRNA from 1 species
AACGAACGCUGGCGGCAUGCCUAACACAUGCAAGUCGAACGAGACCUUCGGGUCUAGUGGCGCACGGGUGCGUAACGCGUGGGAACCUGCCUUUAGGUUCGGAAUAACAGUGAGAAAUUACUGCUAAUACCGGAUGAUGUCUUCGGACCAAAGAUUUUAUCGCCUUUAGAUGGGCCCGCGUUGGAUUAGCUAGUUGGUGGGGUAAAGGCCUACCAAGGCGACGAUCCAUAGCUGGUCUGAGAGGAUGAUCAGCCACACUGGGACUGAGACACGGCCCAGACUCCUACGGGAGGCAGCAGUGGGGAAUAUUGGACAAUGGGCGAAAGCCUGAUCCAGCAAUGCCGCGUGAGUGAUGAAGGCCUUAGGGUUGUAAAGCUCUUUUACCCGAGAUGAUAAUGACAGUAUCGGGAGAAUAAGCUCCGGCUAACUCCGUG